rnacentral:rRNA from 1 species
UUGCCAGCAUUUAGUUGGGCACUCUAAAGUGACUGCCGGUGCAAGCCGGAGGAAGGUGGGGAUGACGUCAAAUCAUCAUGCCCCUUAUGACCUGGGCUACACACGUGCUACAAUGGAUAGUACAAAGGGUCGCGAAGCCGCGAGGUGGAGCUAAUCCCAUAAAACUAUUCUCAGUUCGGAUUGUAGGCUGCAACUCGCCUACAUGAAGCCGGAAUCGCUAGUAAUCGUGGAUCAGCAUGCCACGGUGAAUACGUUCCCGGGCCUUGUACACACCGCCCGUCACACCACGAGAGUUUGUAACACCCGAAGUCGGUAGGGUAACCUUUAUGGAGCCAGCCGCCGAAGGUGGGACAGAUAAUUGGGGUGAAGUCGUAACAAGGUAGCCGUAUCGGAAGGUGCGGCUGGAUCACCUCCUUUCUAAGGAA